rnacentral:rRNA from 1 species
CACGUAGGCUAUAGUGUAAGUCAGGGGUGAAAUCCCACGGCUCAACCGUGGAACUGCCUUUGAUACUGCACAACUUGAAUCCGGGAGAGGGUGGCGGAAUUCCAGGUGUAGGAGUGAAAUCCGUAGAUAUCUGGAGGAACAUCAGUGGCGAAGGCGGCCACCUGGACCGGUAUUGACGCUGAGGUGCGAAAGCGUGGGGAGCAAACAG